rnacentral:sRNA from 1 species
UACGACCCCAGCAGUCGCACAUAGGCGU